AUAGAGGUAGGGAAGGUGAUAAGCCGGAUGCUUGAGGACAUGACGAGAAGGGGAAGGUGAUUUAUGAAUAUAUGGUGGAGGAGGUGAAGAAGAAGGUGGAGGUGGAGACUUGUAAACAUAUGGAGGAGGCGGUGAAGGUGAUGGUGGGGGAGGAGACUUGUACGCAUAUGGAGGAGGGGGUGACGGGGAAGGCGGUGGUGGGGACUUGUAAACAUAUGGAGGAGGUGGUGAGGGGGAAGGUGGUGGUGGGGACUUGUAGACAUAUGGUGGUGGAGGUGAAGGAGAGGGAGGAGGUGGAGAGUUGUAGACAUAAGAAAGGGGUAGCGAUGCAUAUGGUGGUGGAGGAGAUUUGUAAACAUAUGGAGGCGGUGGUGAAGGAGAGGGAGGUGGAGGAGAUUUGUAGACAUACGGUGGAGGAGGUGAGGGAGAAGGAUGUGGUGGUGACUUGUGCACAUAAGGCGGAGGUGGUGAUGGGGAUGGUGGUGGUGGGGACUUGUAGAUGUAAGAAAGGGGUAGUGAUGCAGAUGGUGGAGGAGGAGACUUGUAGACAUAUGGAGGUGGUGGUGAAGGAGAGGGAGGUGGAGGAGAUUUGUAGACAUAUGGUGGAGGAAGUGAAGGAGAAGGAGGUGGUGGUGACUUGUAAAUAUAAGGUGGAGGUGGUGAUGGGGAUGGUGGUGGUGGGGACUUGUAGAUGUAAGAAAGGGGUAGUGAUGCAGAUGGUGGAGGAGGAGACUUAUAGACAUACUUAGGUUGUGGUGAUGGAGAGGGAGGUGGAGGAGAUUUGUAGACAUAUGGCGGAGGAGGUGAAGGAGAGGGAGGUGGUGGUGACUUAUAAAUAUAAGGUGGAGGUGGUGAAGGAGAUGGUGGUGGUGGAGAUUUGUAUGUAUAUAAUGGAGCUAAUUUGGGGUAGAGGUGUGCGUGUUUUGCAUGAUGUGGGGUGUAUUGUGAUUGUGGAUAUUUUGCAUGUUUUGGAGGAGGUGGAGAUUUAUAUGUAUAUAAUGGAGUUAAUUUGGGGUAGAGGUGUGAGUGUUUUGCAUGAUGUGGGGUAUAUUGUGAUUGUGGAUAUUUUGCAUACUUUGGAGGUGGUGGGGAUUUGUAUGUAUAUAAUUGAGUUAAUUUGGGGUAGAGGUGUGAGUGUUUUGCAUGAUGUGAGGUGUAUUUUGAUUGUGGAUAUUUUGCAUACUUUGGAGGUGGUGGGGAUUUGUAUGUAUAUAUUGGAGUUAAUUUUGGAUAGGGAUGUGAAUGUUUUGCAUGUUCAGGGGUGUACUUUGAUUGUGGAUAUUCUACAUGCUUUGUAGGUAAUGGAGAUUUGUGUUUAUAUAAUGGAGUUAAUUUAGGGUAGAGGUGCGAGUGUUUUGCAUGAUAUAGGGUGUAUUGUGAUUGUGGGUGUUUUGCAUAUUUUGGAGGUGGUGGAGAUUUAUAUGCAUAUAAUGGAGUUAAUUUGGGAUAGGGAUGUGAAUGUUUUGCAUGUUUUGGGGUGUACUUUGAUUGUGGAUAUUCUGCAUGCUUCGUAGAGAGUGGAGAUUUGUGUUUAUACAAUGGAGUUAAUUUGUGAUUGAGGUGUGGGUGUUUCGCGUAAUAAUAUGGGGUUUUUUGUGACCGUGGAUAUUCUACAUGCUUUGUAG
rnacentral:lncRNA from 1 species